rnacentral:rRNA from 1 species
UAGGGAAUCUUCGGCAAUGGGGGCAACCCUGACCGAGCAACGCCGCGUGAGUGAAGAAGGUUUUCGGAUCGUAAAGCUCUGUUGUAAGUCAAGAACGGGUGUGAGAGUGGAAAGUUCACACUGUGACGGUAGCUUACCAGAAAGGGACGGCUAACUACGUGCCAGCAGCCGCGGUAAUACGUAGGUCCCGAGCGUUGUCCGGAUUUAUUGGGCGUAAAGCGAGCGCAGGCGGUUUGAUAAGUCUGAAGUUAAAGGCUGUGGCUCAACCAUAGUUCGCUUUGGAAACUGUCAAACUUGAGUGCAGAAGGGGAGAGUGGAAUUCCAUGUGUAGCGGUGAAAUGCGUAGAUAUAUGGAGGAACACCGGUGGCGAAAGCGGCUCUCUGGUCUGUAACUGACGCUGAGGCUCGAAAGCGUGGGGAGCGAACAGGAUUAGAUACCCUGGUAGUCCACGCCGUAAACGAUGAGUGCUAGGUGUUGGAUCCCUUCCGGGAUUCAGUGCCGAAGCUAACGCAUUAAGCACUCCGCCUGGGGAGUACGACCGCAAGGUUGAAAC